UCAGCAAGGAGCUUGCCUAGGACUUCAUCAUGCAAAUUUUUCCUCCCCUGCUCAGGAGAGUGAGCACAAAAGGCACCAUGCAGAGAUGAAGGAGACGCUGGAGCAAUGGGAGAAAGAGACGGCAGAGAGAGAGCAGGAGCACAAGAAGGUCCUGCUGGAAGAGCAGAAGGAGAAGAGUGCUUUAUCAGAGGCACUGCUCCAAACUCAGGAAGAGCUCAGCCGAGCCCGCCAGCAGGUGCAGCAGCUCAGGCAGGAGCUGAAAGAGCAGCAAGAGAAGGGGCAGACCAUCAAGGC